rnacentral:rRNA from 1 species
AGAGUUUGAUCAUGGCUCAGGAUUAACGCUGGCGGCGUGCCUGACACAUGCAAGUCGAACGAGCGAAGCCCUUCGGGGCCGAGCGAGUGGCGGACGGGUGAGUAACACGUGAGGAACCUACCUUCAAGUGGGGAAUAACUCGCAGAAAUGCGAGCUAAUACCGCAUGUGGUUGCGGAGUGGCAUCACUCUGCACCUAAAGAUUUAUCGCUUGGAGACGGCCUCGCGGCCUAUUAGCUAGUUGGUGGGGUAAUGGCCUACCAAGGCGAUGAUGGGUAGCUGGUCUGAGAGGACGAUCAGCCACACUGGGACUGAGACACGGCCCAGACUCCUACGGGAGGCAGCAGCGAGGAAUUUUCCGCAAUGGGCGAAAGCCUGACGGAGCAACGCCGCGUGUGUGAUGAAGUCCCUCGGGAUGUAAAGCACUGUCGGAGGGGAUGAAUAAAUGACAGUACCCUCCAAGAAAGCCCCGGCUAACUACGUGCCAGCAGCCGCGGUAAUACGUAGGGGGCGAGCGUUAUCCGGAUUUACUGGGCGUAAAGCGCGUGUAGGUUGUUGCGUAAGUUAGUUGUGAAAUCCCUCGGCUUAACCGAGGAACUGCAGCUAAUACUGCGUGGCUGGAGUGGCAGAGAGGAAAGUGGAAUUCCCGGUGUAGUAGUGAAAUGCGUAGAUAUCGGGAGGAACACCAGUGGCGAAGGCGACUUUCUGGCUGCUAACUGACACUGAGACGCGAAAGCUAGGGGAGCGAACGGGAUUAGAUACCCUAGUAGUCC